GCGGGUGUAGCUCAGCUGGCUAGAGCAUCAGCCUUCCAAGCUGAGGGUCGUGGGUUCGAAUCCCAUCACCCGCUCCA
rnacentral:tRNA from 1 species